GUGAGGAAUAUUGCGCAAUGGAGGCAACUCUGACGCAGCCAUGCCGCGUGCAGGAAGAAGGCGCUACGCGUUGUAAACUGCUUUUAACCGGGAAGAAACCCCAGGACGUGUCCUGGGUUGACGGUACCGGAGGAAUAAGCACCGGCUAACUUCGUGCCAGCAGCCGCGGUUAUACGAAGGGUGCAAGCGUUAUCCGGAUUCAUUGGGUUUAAAGGGUGCGUAGGCGGAGCGUUAAGUCAGUGGUGAAAUCCUGCAGCUUAACUGUAGACUUGCCAUUGAUACUGGCGCUCUUGAGUGCGCUUGAAGUGGGCGGAAUGUGCCGUGUAGCGGUGAAAUGCUUAGAUAUGGCACAGAACACCAAUUGCGAAGGCAGCUCACUAAGGCGAUACUGACGCUGAGGCACGAAAGCGUGGGGAUCGAACAGGAUUAGAAACCCUGGUAGUCC
rnacentral:rRNA from 1 species